UCCUACGGGAGGCAGCAGUGGGGAAUUUUGGACAAUGGGCGCAAGCCUGAUCCAGCUAUUCCGCGUGUGGGAAGACUGCCCUAUGGGUUGUAAACCUCUUUUGUCAGGGAGCAAUUGGCGCUACGUGUAGCGUUAUCGAGAGUACCUGAAGAAAAAGCAUCGGCUAACUCCGUGCCAGCAGCCGCGGUAAUACGGAGGAUGCGAGCGUUAUCCGGAUUUAUUGGGUUUAAAGGGUGCGUAGGCGGAAUGCCAAGUCAGCGGUAAAAUCGCGGGGCUCAACCUCGCUCCGCCGUUGAAACUGGCGU
rnacentral:rRNA from 1 species